UAGCAUGUCGUAAAAGUCAAAGCAAAACAAAAUUUGAUUUUUUUUUCUUUCGAAAGUUUUAUUCAAGAUGAAUGGUUUAUCGCUACGGGUAUCUUCCAUUCGGGCGAAUGAAAAUGUGAAAAAACAUUCAGAAAUUAGAAUGGAUCUUUUCAAUGUGCCUUCAUCUCUUUAUCAACCUGAAAAUACAUACAUCUCCGGAUUGGCCGAAGCAACAUCCGUCGAUGAGCAGAUAAAAGUGCUUAAGGAGUAUUCGGCAUAUAUUUUGGGCAUAGAAAAAUCACUUUUGUCCAACAUACAGAUUUUGGCAGAAUUGUUUAUCGAAGCGCCACUCAAACAUGCAGUGAAGAACACGGUUACCAGAUUGCUCAGUCAAAUUAAUGUCGGUAAAGAGAUAGUGGUGCUGGGUCUGUCAAACACGAUCCGAAAGAGAAUUCAAAGUUACGAUAAGCAACAGAACCACACUCUGGCUAGUCGUAAUGCGCUGGUUAAUGGUAUAGGGAGUUGUUUUGAGAAUUUCAAAGUUGGAGUAGAUGCAAUACGAUGUUGUUUGCAGGACAUUAUAUGUUUUCUCAACAAAUCACUAGUGCAGUACAUUGAGCAUUUGAGGUAUGUCAAACUAACGAGGUCGGGAGUCUAUAAUAUCAUAAAACUUUACUAGUAUAAACUAAAAAACCAACCGCAGUUUUGUGAUCCUCCAAGAUAUUAGUUUUACUUUUUGAGCAUGAACAUGAGCAUGAGUGACCGCCCACGGUUGUUACUCUGUUAUUGCCAGACCAGCUGUAUUUACGCAGAGAACCAAUAGACGAUGCUUGGGACUAGCAAUCAUCCUCAAUGAUUAAAAACUGGUGAUCUCGAAUUAGGCAAUACCAGCGCCAGCCGCGCCUGAACGCAGGUCAAGAAAGUAAUGGGUAGGAAUGUGUUGACGUGACACUCGCUUUGAUAGAAGCCGAGGACUCCUCUGCACUUCCACCAGGAAUCACAGGGAUGUUGGGUAGGAGGGUUGGGUUAGCAGCAGGGUUCGUUUUGGUUAACGAU